rnacentral:rRNA from 1 species
AAGUCUGACCUGCCCAAUGAUUAAAUUUUAAUGGCCGCAGUAUUUUGACUGUGCAAAGGUAGCAUAAUCACUAGUUUUUUAAAUGAAAGCUUGUAUGAAUGGUUUGAUGAGAAAGAGACUGUCUUUAUAUUAUUGUUUUAGAAUUUUAUUUUUAAGUAAAAAAGCUUAGAUUUAUUAAAAAGACGAGAAGACCCUAUAGAGUUUUAUAAAAAUUUUUUAUUAAAAAUUAUAUUGAUUUAUAAAUAGUUUUUAUUAUUAUUUUUAUUUUGUUGGGGUGAUAUAAAAAUUUAAAUAACUUUUUAAUUAUUUUUACAUUAAUUAAUGAAUAAUUGAUCCUAAUAUUUAGAUUAUAAGAAAAAAUUACCUUAGGGAUAACAGCGUAAUUUUUUUUGAGAGUUCUUAUCGAAAAAAGAGAUUGCGACCUCGAUGUUGGAUUAAAAUUUAAUUUUGGUGUAGAAGCUAAAAAGUUUAGGUCUGUUCGACCUUUAAAAUUUUACAUGAUCUGAGUUUAAACCGGUGUGAGCCAGGUUGGUUUCUAUCUUUUAACAUAUAUAAUAUUUUAGUACGAAAGGACCAAAUAUUAAAAUUAUAUUUAAUUUUUUGAAUUAAAUUAUUGUUUUGGCAGAAAAGUGUAAUAGAUUUAGAAUCUUUAAAUGUAAUUUUAUUUACAGACAAUAUUGUUUAUAAAUGAUUUAAUUUUAAUUUUUUUUUCUAUAUUGAUUUUAGUAGUAUUUGUAUUAGUUGGUGUAGCUUUUUUGACAUUAUUAGAGCGUAUGGUUUU